GAUAAAACUCAAACGCGCAAUGAAAGUGAAUCUUACACGAUCCGUACACUCCGGUGUGCGGCGCAGUGUAGUCCCGUUUCAACUGCUUGCAGUGGAGCGGCGACAGAGCGUACACGUUGGGACCCGAAAGAUGGUGAACUAUGCCUGAGCAGGACGAAGUCAGAGGAAACUCUGAUGGAGGUCCGAAGCGAUUCUGACGUGCAAAUCGAUCGUCAGACUUGGGUAUAGGGGCGAAAGACUAAUCGAACCAUCUAGUAGCUGGUUCCUUCCGACUGA
rnacentral:rRNA from 1 species